rnacentral:misc_RNA from 1 species
GCAAACUUGGUCAUUUAGAGGAAGUAAAAGUCGUAACAAGGUUUCCGUAGGUGAACCUGCGGAAGGAUCAUUAAUGAUUUUAAUGGAUGUGCUGGCUUUUUGAGCAUGUGCACUCCUAAUAAACCAUUAUCCACCUGUGCACACUUUGUAGGUUAGGGGCUUUUACCCUUUCCUAUGCUCUUUAUAAACAAUAUUGAUUUAACUUGAAUGGGUUUAUAAUACUUAAAUUAUAAAACAACUUUCAACAAUGGAUCUCUUGGUUCUCGCAUCGAUGAAGAACGCAGC